rnacentral:rRNA from 1 species
GGCCUUGACAUACUAAGAACUUUCCAGAGAUGGAUUGGUGCCUUCGGGAACUUAGAUACAGGUGCUGCAUGGCUGUCGUCAGCUCGUGUCGUGAGAUGUUGGGUUAAGUCCGCAACGAGCGCAACCCUUUUCCUUAUUUGCCAGCGGGUAAUGCCGGGAACUUUAAGGAUACUGCCAGUGACAAACUGGAGGAAGGCGGGGACGACGUCAAGUCAUCAUGGCCCUUACGGCCAGGGCUACACACGUGCUACAAUGGUCGGUACAAAGGGUUGCUACCUCGCGAGAGGAUGCUAAUCUCAAAAAGCCGAUCGUAGUCCGGAUCGCAGUCUGCAACUCGGCUGCGUGAAGUCGGAAUCGCUAGUAAUCGCGGAUCAGAAUGCCGCGGUGAAUACGUUCCCGGGCCUUGUACACACCGCCCGUCACACCAUGGGAGUUUGUUGCACCAGAAGUAGGUAGUCUAACCGCAAGGAGGACGCUUACCACGGUGUGGCCGAUGACUGGGGUGAAGUCGUAACAAGGUAGGCGUAGAUGA